rfam:Salinicoccus alkaliphilus DSM 16010 genome assembly, contig: EJ97DRAFT_scaffold00008.8
ACUUGUAUUAAAAUAUUACCUAAGACAGCAGGAGUGGCGGUCCGCCGCUGCUUAAAACCAUAUCCUGCCGAGGCAAAUGAAAAUGACUUGAAUUGACCAAUAGAUAUUCAAGCACUUUUUGCCGUGGGUAAAAGGUGCUUUUUUUAUUGCACC